rnacentral:rRNA from 1 species
UCAGUUCGGAUCGGAGUCUGCAACCCGACUCCGUGAAGCUGGAUUCGCUAGUAAUCGCGCAUCAGCCAUGGCGCGGUGAAUACGUUCCCGGGCCUUGUACACACCGCCCGUCAAGCCAUGGGGAGCCGGGGGUGCUUGAAGUGCGUCGCCGCAAGGCGCGCCCUAGAGCAAAACCGGUGACUGGGGCUAAGUCGUAACAAGGUACC